UCUCAACAUUCAGGUGGUUUACACGGGU
rnacentral:piRNA from 1 species